UACGUAGGGGGCAAGCGUUAUUCGGAAUUACUGGGCGUAAAGCGUGCGCAGGCGGUUUUGUAAGUCUGACGUGAAAUCCCCGGGCUCAACCUGGGAAUUGCGAUGGAGACUGCAAGGCUUGAAUCUGGCAGAGGGGGGUAGAAGUCCACGUGUAGCAGUGAAAUGCGUAGAGAUGUGGAGGAACACCGAUGGCGAAGGCAGCCCCCUGUGUCAAGAUUGACGCUCAUGCACGAAAGCGUGGGGAGCAAACAGG
rnacentral:rRNA from 1 species